UACAGGGGGUGCAAACGUUGCUCGGAAUCAUUGGGCGUAAAGCGCACGUAGGCGGUCUGUUAUGUCGGAUGUGAAAGCCCUUGGCUCAACUGAGGAAGUGCAUCCGAAACUGGCAGGCUAGAGUACUAAAGAGGAUCGCGGAAUUCCCGGUGUAGAGGUGAAAUUCGUAGAUAUCGGGAGGAACACCGGUGGCGAAGGCGGCGAUCUGGGUAGAUACUGACACUGAGGCACGAAGGCCAGGGGAGCAAACGGG
rnacentral:rRNA from 1 species